rnacentral:rRNA from 1 species
AGAGUUUGAUCAUGGCUCAGAUUGAACGCUGGCGGCAUGCCUUACACAUGCAAGUCGAACGGCAGCAUGAUCUAGCUUGCUAGAUUGAUGGCGAGUGGCGAACGGGUGAGUAAUACAUCGGAACGUGCCCUGUAGUGGGGGAUAACUAGUCGAAAGAUUAGCUAAUACCGCAUACGACCUGAGGGUGAAAGUGGGGGACCGCAAGGCCUCAUGCUAUAGGAGCGGCCGAUGUCUGAUUAGCUAGUUGGUGGGGUAAAGGCCCACCAAGGCGACGAUCAGUAGCUGGUCUGAGAGGACGAUCAGCCACACUGGGACUGAGACACGGCCCAGACUCCUACGGGAGGCAGCAGUGGGGAAUUUUGGACAAUGGGCGAAAGCCUGAUCCAGCAAUGCCGCGUGUGUGAAGAAGGCCUUCGGGUUGUAAAGCACUUUUGUCCGGAAAGAAAUGGCUCUGGUUAAUACCUGGGGUCGAUGACGGUACCGGAAGAAUAAGGACCGGCUAACUACGUGCCAGCAGCCGCGGUAAUACGUAGGGUCCAAGCGUUAAUCGGAAUUACUGGGCGUAAAGCGUGCGCAGGCGGUUGUGCAAGACCGAUGUGAAAUCCCCGAGCUUAACUUGGGAAUUGCAUUGGUGACUGCACGGCUAGAGUGUGUCAGAGGGGGGUAGAAUUCCACGUGUAGCAGUGAAAUGCGUAGAGAUGUGGAGGAAUACCGAUGGCGAAGGCAGCCCCCUGGACAAAGACUGACGCUCA